AACUCUAAGCGGUGGAUCACUCGGCUCAUGGGUCGAUGAAGAACGCAGCAAACUGUGCGUCAUCGUGUGAACUGCAGGACACAUGAACAUCGACAUUUUGAACGCAUAUCGCAGUCCAUGCUGUUAUGUACUUUAAUUAAUUUGAUAGUGCUGCUUGGACUACAUAUGGUUGAGGGUUG
rnacentral:rRNA from 1 species